GACAGAGGUGCCGAGCGUUAGGCGGAAUCACUGGGCUUAAAGCGUGCGUAGGCGGAUCGUUAAGUCCCUUGUGAAAUCCCACGGCUUAACCGUGGAACUGCUGGGUAUACUGGCGAUCUUGAGGUGCUCAGGGGCGAGCGGAACAGAUGGUGGAGCGGUGAAAUGCGUAGAUAUCAUCUGGAACGCCUGCGGUGAAAACGGCUCGCUGGGAGCAAUCUGACGCUGAGACACGAAAGCCAGGGGAGCGAACGGG
rnacentral:rRNA from 1 species